UAGUAGCACAAGUUAUCGGGUAGGAAAAGAACUUUGUUGGCUUCAAAGUACAAUUAUACAAGAAAGAAAAAUCAAUAUAAUCAGGACUGAUAUUAAAAGGAGUUCUAUCAAGAGUCACAUUAUGUAAAGGAAUUGGACAUGAGUCCUCCCCUUCUUCCUUAUAGACACUAGCACUGGCCACAAGAAAAGACUGAUUGUUGUAAUAAAUAUCUUUAAUGAUAUAAUCAUCAUUAGAGAUUUUAAGAACUGGGUAAUCAUCAUCAUUACAAAUAAUAUCAAAAUUCGGAUACCCACAAAAUGGUUUUUGAACUUGACUUAGGUAAAAAGGGUAUGUUAUUUUAGGGCCUUGGCCACAGGUUGUGGGUGCACAAGCUUGGAACUUUUGAUCUUCCAUUGAUGAGGAGUGACUAGCUAAGGUGAAGAAGAAGAUCAAGGAGUAGUUUAUGAGAUUCAUUAGGAAUGGAAGAAGAAGGAACAGGAAAAUAAG